UAUAGCUCUGUGUAGGUCGAUGCAGCUCUGUGUAGGUCGACCCAGCUCUGUGUAGGUCGAUAUAGCUCUGUGUAGGUUGAUGUAUCUCUGUGUAUGCUGAUAUAGCCUCUGUGUAGGUCGAUAUAGCCUCUGUGUAGGUCGAUAUAGCCUCUGUGUAGGCCGAUAUAGCCUCUGUGUAGGUCGAUAUAGCCUCUGUGUAGGUCGAUAUAGCCUCUGUGUAGGUCGAUAUAGUCUCUGUGUAGGUCGAUGUAGCUCUGUGUAGGUCGACAUACAGAGUUAUAUCGACUCUCAGCUCAUCUCAUAACCCUCAGCUCAUCUCAUAACCCUCAUCUCAUAACCCUCAGAUCAUGUCAUAACCCUCAGCUCAUCUCAUAACCCUCAUCUCAUAACCCUCAGCUCAUCUCAUAACCCUCGUCUCAUAACCCUCAGCUCAUCUCAUAACCCUCGUCUCAUAACCCUCAGCUCAUCUCAUAACCCUCAUGUCAUAACCCUCAGCUCAUCUCAUAACCCUCGUCUCAUAACCCUCAGCUCAUCUCAGAACCCUCGUCUCAUAACCCUCAGCUCAUCUCAGAACCCUCGUCUCAUAACCCUCAGCUCAUCUCAUAACCCUCAUCUCAUAACCCUAAUCUCAUAACCCUCGUCUCAUAACCCUCAGUUCAUCUCAUUUCGUUAUUAUUUUGGUUAGGCCAGGGUGUGACAUGGGGAUUUAUGUGGUUUGUUUUGUCUGGGGUUGUUUGUAGUUAUGGGAUUGUGGUUAGAGUAGUACUCUAGGUAAGUCUAUGGUUGCCUAGAGUGGUUCUCAAUCAGAGGCAGGUGUUUAUCGUUGUCUCUGAUUGGGAACCAUAUUUAGGCAGCCAUAUUCUUUAGGUCUCUUGUGGGUGAUUGUUCCUGUCUUUGUGUUUGUGGCACCAGAUAGGACUGUUUUGUGUUGGGUUUUGUGGGUGAUUGUUCCUGUCUUUGUGUUUGUGGCACCAGAUAGGACUGUUUUGGUUUUUCACGGUUCUUGUUUUGUAUAUUGUUGUAUUUUCAUCUUUAUUAAAGAUGUA
ensembl:lncRNA